rnacentral:rRNA from 1 species
UACGGAGGGGGCUAGCGUUGUUCGGAAUUACUGGGCGUAAAGGGCGCGUAGGCGGUUCGGUCAGUCAGGCGUGAAAGCCCCGGGCUUAACCUGGGAACUGCGCUUGAUACUGCACGAACUAGAGUCCGAGAGAGGGUGGUGGAAUUUCCAGUGUAGAGGUGAAAUUCGUAGAUAUUGGAAGGAACACCAGUGGCGAAGGCGGCCACCUGGCUCGGUACUGACGCUGAGGCGCGAAAGCGUGGGGA